rnacentral:rRNA from 1 species
GACGUAGGUGGCGAACGUUAUCCGGAAUUAUUGGGCGUAAAGGGUGCGUAGGUGGUCUGAUAAGUUAUCAGUGGCAAAUCGAGGCUCAACCUCGUGGAACUGUAAUACUGUCCGACUUGAGUACAGGAGAGGUUAACGGAACUCUAUGUGGAGCGGUAAAAUGCACAGAUAUAUAGAAGAACAUCAAUAACGGCGAAGGCAGUUAACUAUUCUGUUACUGACACUGAGGCACGAAAGCGUGGGGAGCAAAACGG